ACGGGAGGCAGCAGUGGGGAAUAUUGGACAAUGGGGGAAACCCUGAUCCAGCGACGCCGCGUGAGUGAAGAAGUAUUUCGGUAUGUAAAGCUCUAUCAGCAAGGAAGAAAAUGACGGUACUUGACUAAGAAGCCCCGGCUAACUACGUGCCAGCAGCCGCGGUAAUACGUAGGGGGCAAGCGUUAUCCGGAUUUACUGGGUGUAAAGGGAGCGCAGACGGCUUUGCAAGUCUGAUGUGAAAGGCAGGGGCUCAACUCCUGGACUGCAUUGGAAACUGUAGGGCUAGAGUGUCGGAGAGGUAAGCGGAAUUCCUAGUGUAGCGGUGAAAUGCGUAGAUAUUAGGAGGAACACCAGUGGCGAAGGCGGCUUACUGGACGAUAACUGACGUUGAGGCUCGAAAGCGUGGGGAGCAAACAGGAUUAGAUACCCUGGUA
rnacentral:rRNA from 1 species